CCAGCAAGUAUGUGUGACGUCCCAAAAUAGGUAUACAUCACCUAUUCUUAGUCGCCAAAUACAUGGUACAAAAUACAAAUACAAUCUUUAAUAUACAACAAGAAAGCUGUGAGUUUUAAUACAAAUAUUGUCUUCUAGACAAUAUCCACUCUCAGAAUAAGUCCUCAUUACAUUUCUUGUCACACUAUUUAACAGAAUAGUGAGGACUACUAAUACUAUCAUCUGGACCGUCACUCCGUUCCCCGACUAGUCCCGGCUACGUUUUCAUUUCUUGAAGAGAACAGUGAAAGAAAGGGUGAGCUCAACUAGCCCAGUAAAGAAUAUCAUGACUUAAGAUAAUUAAAUUAUUAAAAGAAUUCAGAUAUUUAGAACAUAUGGUAAAAGAUAAAAGUUUUCAACCAUAAUAGCAGCGGAAUCAACAAUCCAUUAGAAGAGUUAAGUAGAACAUAAUGUCUACUAUCUCCUCUAGAUUAAAGGUCCAUCGUUAAUAUUUCAUUCCUGUAAUACUCAUCAACAGUUCUUUGUUAUACCUAAGACAAAGAGAACUCUCAUCACCUGUCUUCACCUGAACCACCACAAAUUAUAAUUAAAUUCACAAUUCGUAUUUAUAUAAUCAGAUAAAUCAACAGUUCAUACAACUGUAAAACCAAUAACCAACAGUCCAUCUUUGCACUACAGGCCAAAGAUAUACAACUGUAAAACCAAUAAUGCUGAGACUCAGCUUAAUAGUAUCACGACUACGAAUUAUCCAUGCACUACGGGCCAAGGAUAUUCGUGUUUUCAAUUAUGGUCAUGAUUAUACCGAAUAAUCCCUGGUUAUAAUCAUACCAAGUCUAUCUAUGCACUACGAGCCAAAGAUGACUUUUACCACAUCAUUUGUAACAUUACGGUCAUGAUUAUACCGAAUAAUCCCUGGUCAUAAUCAUACCAAGUCCAUCUAUGCACUACUGGCCAUAGACGACUUUCAACACAAUAUAAGCAUGAGAAUGAUGACAAUGAUAUAUAUAAUGAAUAAACAUAAAUCAUCAGAAUAAUAAGAUAACAUAGAUCUUAGUGAUUUUCAACUUAAUUAUCCAGAGUCCAAAUUGAUAACAUAAUAAUAGAUGAAGCACAAACUAUUAAGUAUAUUCUAAUCCUUUCAGGACUUUUCACCAUUUAAUGAUAAACUGAAUAAACGAAUAAUAAUAUCUUACCAUAAUAUGAAAGAAAAUGAUAUUCUUUUUAUCAUAAAAAUGAUACCCUCUUACCACAAUAAUGAUAUCCCUUACCUUAGCAUGUGACUUGAUUCUGCUUUCUGUGAAAUUGAUCAACUUAAACAAUGCUUGCAUUCUUUAUCUACACUUGCAGUAACAUUACACUCAAUAGAAAUACUCACAAUAUUAUACUCACAAUAUUGAAGAAAAAGAAUUCUAUAUUUUUAGUGUAGUGAUGGUGUGUGUUUAGUUACUCAACCGAGCAACCUAUUUAUACUAAAAAUUUAGUAAACAACUGCCACACCUGCUUUGACAAAAUAACCAAAUGGGGUAUAAAAUAAUGGUAGUGGAAUUUAUGGUCCCACAAAGAAAAUUAAAUCAACUUGUACACGUUUUAACAAAAUUUGUUCAAUAAUAGAGUUGUGGUCCAUACUACUUUAGAAAAAGUAGAGUGUCGGCAAGUCCUGCCAAACAUACUUUUGUAAAAAGAAAAUAAUUGAACAAACAUCUCUAUAUUGUACUUAUCUUUAAUCAACACCUUUUAUUCAUCAAUUAUUUACACAUUUUAAAUCUUUCAACAAUUAUACACAAUUAUUUAUUAAAACUCACAAUACUGUCAACUGGUUUAAUUAUAUCAUAUCAAAUAAUAUGAGUCACUGUGCAAUAACUAUGACAAUUAUUGAAUAAAAGACUGAUUGACUUCUUACGUAAUUAAGAAUCAAUAAUAUAAAUAACUGUGCAAUAACUACUGUGACAAUUAUUGAAUAAAAUACUGAGUGGCUUCUUACGUAAGAAUCAAAUCAAUAUCUUUAAAUUUUUAUUAAAAGUAAGGAUCAACAUCAAAUCAUAUGUAUCUCGAAUAACAUAUAAACCAACUAAUAAUUCAUUAUUCAUUUAAGUUGUCUUUAUUUAUCGUAUAAAAUCAUUAUUCAUAUUCCAAAAUUUUAGAAGUGAAUAAUAAAACUUGAGAAAUAUACAACCUCAUAUAUGACAAUCUAUUAUUCUGAUAUUAUCACCAUUUUUACUUUAACAAAAAUAUUAUUUUUGUUUUUAUCAUAACUCAUUCGUUACUAGUGCGUUUACAUCCCGACACCUCAUGAGCUUACUAACACUUCUAAAAUAUUUUAAAAAAAUAUGAUUCUGAAUUUUCCAAACAAAUUUCAUAUUUUUCAGAUUAUCUAACAAUUUUCUAUAAUUAUUUCUAUUUAUAAAAAAUAUCAUUUAAUAGCUUCAAAAUAGAAAUACUAACUUUACAUACUUUUAUAUCAUUAAAACAUUAUCAAUAUUAAUCUUACAUUAUUAUAAUAUUUUUCAGCAAAAAUCAUAAUUUUCCACCAUUCAUAGAAUUUUCUAUGAAUUUCUUCUAUUUUCAAACUAACUAUAAAUAGUUUAAAAAUAUAAUAAUUACUUCUGCUUUUCAAUAAUUUAUCAAAAUUUUACAGAAAUUCUAAGAUGAUAUUAUAAGCAUUCUGUAAAAAUAUUUCAACCAAAAUAAUUUUUCUGUUAAAUUAAUUAUAAACUCCAAUAUUCAGAAAUUUCAAUAAUUCACAAUAAUUAGCACUUUUAUCAGAAAAAAAUACAGAUCUUAUGUCCUUCCAUGUAAAAUUUAAUUCUCUACAACUUUUUAGAAGAAAGUUUUCCCAAAUUUUGACUCUAACAUAGAGAGAAAGGCUUACCGAAAUAUUCUGUUUGAUAAUUUUCGAACCAGCCACCUUACGAAAUUCACAACAGAUUAUAUAUUAAUCUUUAAUGGUUCAAAAUUUGUGGACAUAUACUCAACUUAUAUAUGCAUAACAUAUCCGAAAAUCACAACGAUCCAACGGUCGGAUUAAAAAUUAUAACUCACGCAAUAAAGCUUAAUAAAACUGAUUUUUUGGACUAUAAGUUCUUCGGACCAAUUUCACUCAAACUGUCACCACGAAGAAUCUACAAAGAAUUUUUGGGUGAUUCAAAUUUCUGCAUUUAGCUUACUUCCAUGGCUUUAUUUUGAUAUAUAGCUCAUCUCCUAACUCAUUAUACACAAAGAGUUAUGGAUUUUACAAAAUCAAGUAGUAAACUAAUUUUUAUGAAAAUUUCCAGAUUUUUCUUUUCAUUUGAUUUCUUGAUUUCUCUUACUUGAUUCAUGCUUAUACAAGUUUAAAACAUACAAUACAUACCUAAGUAUGUACUCUUUACAUAAAAUCCAUAUAAACUAAAAUCUAAGAAUAAAUCAAAGAUUUUUUUAGAAAUACCUUUUCUUCUUCUCCUUCUUUCUCUCUUCUCUUCCUUCCUCUCUCUCUCUCUCUCUCUCUCUCUCUCUCUCUCAUUCUUCUGAUUUCCCGUGACUAACAAAAUGGGUGGGAGUACUUCAUAUUUUUCUCGUUCCUUUUAUUUUGUUUUCUAUCUUUUCUCUCUCUCUCUUUUUCUUCCUCUUUUCCCUUAUUUUCUUCCUUUCCUUUUCUCUUUUCUUCUACCUAUUUUGUCUACGGGAGGAAGUGAGAAAAUGCAAAUGUAAAGUGCUGAACAUUUGGCCUACUUAGCCAAAAUAAAUGGCCAACAUCCUUGCCCCACCAAUAAAAGAA
rnacentral:lncRNA from 1 species